rnacentral:rRNA from 1 species
UACGUAGGAUGCAAGCGUUUGUCCGGAAUUAUUGGGCGUAAAGAGCGCGCAGGCGGUUUUACAAGUCAGAUGUGAAAGAAGCCGGCUUAACCGGCAAGGGUCAUUUGAAACUGUGAGACUAGAGUGCAGCAGAGGAUAGCGGAAUUCCCGGUGUAGUGGUGAAAUGCGUAGAUAUCGGGAGGAACACCAGUGGCGAAGGCGGCUAUCUGGGCUGCAACUGACGCUGAGGAGCGAAAGCAUGGGGGAGCGAACAGG